rnacentral:ncRNA from 1 species
UAAACAUUUAUGAAGAAGAGAGUAGUUUACGGAUAUCUGUUUUAGCGAGCUGGGGUGGUGGAAGCCGGUCAUGAUGAAGUAAAUGAACCGCACUUUGGAAAUGAUUAUUCGAAUGUAGUAGAGUAAUCCGGUCGCUUACCGUUAAAAAAGUUUAAAGUGGUUUAAGAUUUUAAACAAUAAGAGUGGUACCACGGGUUAUCUCGUCUCUAGU